rnacentral:rRNA from 1 species
CCUACGGGUGGCAGCAGUGAGGAAUAUUGGUCAAUGGGCGCGAGCCUGAACCAGCCAAGUAGCGUGAAGGAUGACUGCCCUACGGUUUGUAAACUUCUUUUAUACAGGAAUAACGUGAGUCACGUGUGCCUUUUUGUAUGUACUUUAUGAAUAAGGAUCGGCUAACUCCGUGCCAGCAGCCGCGUUAAUACGGAGGAUCCGAGCGUUAUCCGGCUUUAUUGGGUUUAAAGGGAGAGUAGAUGGGUUGUUAAGUCAGUUGUGAAAGUUUGCGGCCCAACCGUAAAAUUGCAAUUGAUACUGGCAGACUUGAGUACAGUUGAGGUAGGCGGAAUUCGUGGUGGAGCGGUGAAAUGCUUAGAUAUCACGAAGAACUCCGAUUGCGAAGGCAGCUUACUAAACUGCCACUGACAUUGAUGCUCGAAAGUGUGGGUAUCAAACAGGAUUAGAUACCCUUGUAGUC